UACCAAAUUGGCAGAGUAGUGCGCUGAAGUUAAGUUUCAGAUAAAAGUUAACCUUAUUUGGUAA
rnacentral:tRNA from 2 species